GAGAAGGACGCAGCUAGCAGCUAAAAUAAGCCAGCAGCAAUCAGCAUCGAGGCGCGCUUCCUAGUUGGUCACAAAGGCUCCCACAACACCAUGGCAGGGGGAUUGGUGGCAUGUCAUCAUGAGUCGUUUUCCUACGGGCGCAGUUGCUGCUGCAGUUCACCGCACCUGAAAUAAAGCCAGGGGACCCAAAAGCUCAGAUGGACUUGGGGGUUGUCCUGGACACCAGCGGGAGCAUGGCGGGGGAUAAGCUGGAGAAUCUGAAGAAAGGCAUGGAGAAGGUCAUCUCUUGGCUCCGCGGCCUUGACCGCUUGUGCAUCGUUACCUUCAGUGACGAUGCUGAUCUCAAGUACGACCUGACCUUGAUGGGUCCAGUCGAGUAGAAAGAAGCGUCACGUAUAAUAAGGGAAGACAUUAAAGCGGACGGGUGGACCAAUAUGGAGGCAGGCCUCCGGGUCCUCCAAGAACGUGAGAGAACGGACCAUCAGGGUGUUAUCUUUCUCCUGUCCGACGGAGCUGAGAACAUAGGUAACGCUCGGCUGGUCCGCGUCAUAGACUACGCCGUCGAGACGUUUGGCUUCGGAUCGGACAAGGACGCCACGGCAAGUUGAUCCAUAUCUAUCAUGCAUGUUAAUUACAGUACUACUUCAUCCGAUCCAUUAUAUACUGAAACACUUACUGUAUUAUAUAUGGACCUUUUUUCCGGUCUCUCUCAAUGUAUAAUACCUGCCUGUGUACGUAUAUAGAUCCUCCAAGAUAUCUCGCGCCCUCCCGCCGCUCCUCUUUGUGCUGCUACUUGGACGGGAGGCGCGUACAAUGAUGUUACCGACGUGACGAAGCUGACGUCGACGUUCUCGCGGCCUUCUUAUAUCCACAAGCACAUGGUCGUCAAGGACCUGGUGGUGAAGCUGCAGUCCGUGAACCUCAUAAUCAGCGGGUCAAUACGGCGGGCGGCUUG